rnacentral:rRNA from 1 species
AUUGAACGCUGGCGGCAGGCCUAACUCAUGCAAGUCGAACGAGUGGCGGACGGGUGAGUAAUGUCUGGGAAACUGCCUGAUGGAGGGGGAUAACUACGGGAAACGGUAGCUAAUACCGCAUACCAUCGGAUGUGCCCAGGUGGGAUUAGCGAGUAGGUGGGGUAACGACUCACCUAGGCGACGAUCCCUAGCUGGUCUGAGAGGAUGACCAGCCACACUGGAGCUGAGACACGAUCCAGGCUCCUACGUGAGGCAGCAGUGGGGAAUAUUGCACGAUGGGCACAAGCCUGAUGCAGCCAUGCCGCGUGUAUGAAGAAGGCCGUCGGGUUGUAAAGUGCUUUCAGCGGGGAGGCGUUACCCGCAGAAGAAGCGCCGGCUAACUCCGUGCCAGCCGCCGCGGUAAUUC